UACGGAGGGUGCAAGCGUUAUCCGGAUUCACUGGGUUUAAAGGGUGCGUAGGCGGGUUGGUAAGUCCGUGGUGAAAUCUCCAAGCUUAACUUGGAAACUGCCGUGGAUACUAUUAAUCUUGAAUAUAGUGGAGGUGAGCGGAAUAUGUCAUGUAGCGGUGAAAUGCUUAGAUAUGACAUAGAACACCCAUUGCGAAGGCAGCUCGCUACACUAUUAUUGCCGCUGAGGCGCGAAGGCUAGGGGAGCAAACAGG
rnacentral:rRNA from 1 species